GAAUAAAAUGGUCAUUUCUAUUAAAAAUUGACAUAGCUAAUAGAAUAAUCAAACAGUUGCAUGUGGUAUGCCAUUUGUACCUCAUGCUGACAUAUAAAGAUUAGAUUUUAAUCGAAGAAAUAGAUGAAAUUUUUAAUA
rfam:Gossypium arboreum cultivar AKA8401 contig_14229_1, whole genome shotgun sequence.